GUCGGUGAGGCGGACUUCGUCUCCGUCUCUGUCAACACCUCUACCAAGAGCUGCGGCCUCGGCACCGGCAAGGCCGUCGAUCUCACCUAAUGUGUGAGUGUCGCACGCAUGAUCGUCGACAUCUCCCGCUCCAACAAAAUCAUGGUCGAGAAGUUCACUGUGCCCAUCAAGACCGCCAAGGCCAUCGAGAAGAUCCUUGCCCACAACCGUCGUGGCGUCCUGAACCAAAUUCUGUCCAACCCGGAGUUCCUCGAUGAGGGCACCGCCGUGUAGGACCUACUCGCGCUCCACCACGUCCUCAUCGGCGGCCGCAAGAUGCCUGAUAGGCAGGCCGUCGUGAAGGUCCUCAAGUACGUCUACCCGCACAUGGUCCCCGAGGAUCGCAUCAUCACCACCAACCUCUGGUCGGCCGAGCUGGCCGAGCUGCUCAAGCUCGCCACCAACGCCUUCCUCGCGCAGAGCAUCUCCUCGGUGAACGAAAUCUCCACAUUGUGCGAGGCCACCAGCGCCGACGUCACUGAGAUGGCCAACUGCAUCGGAAGGACUCGUGCGUCGCCCGUGCUUCCUGCCUUCCUCUCGGCCUGCGUCGGAUUCAACGGCUCGUGCUUCAAGGACAUCCUCAACAUCAUCUACAUCUGUGAGUGCUACGGCCUCCCCGAGGUGGAGGGCUACUGGAGGCUGGUCAUCGUCAUCAACGACUGCCAGAAGAGCGGCUUCGUCAACCGCGUCGUCUCCUCCAUGUUCAACACCGUCGCCGCCGUGAAGAAGGUGGCCAUGCAGGGGUUCGCCUUCAAGAAGUUUACCGGUAACACCCACGAGACACCGGCCAUCGACAUGUGCGAGGGUCUGCUCAGCGACAAGGUCAUCGUCAACAUGUACGACACGCAGGUGACGGAGGAGCAGGUGCGGUGUGACCUCGCCAUGAACAAGUUUGACUGGGACCACCCGUGCCACCUACUGCAGGUGGGCGAGCCCGCCGGGCAGCCAGUCACCGUCAUGUCGGACGCGUACGAGGCCGUCCGCGAUGCGCAUGCCGUCUGCAUCCUGACCAAGUGGGAGGAGUUUAGGAGCCUCGACUGCAGGUGCAUGUACAACGUUACAGAAGCCGGCUUUCAUCUUCGCCGUCACAACAUUAUCGACCCGGCCAGGCUCCGGGAUAUUGGAUUGAUUUUCUAUGCAACUAGCAAGCCGAUUGACCAAUGCCCAGUGGCUCAAGGACAUGCCAACCGUCGCCUCAGGUGA
rnacentral:rRNA from 1 species